UUUUUCCUCCCCAACAACAACUCAGAUUUCUCCAGCUGAGUUUGUAAUCACCUCCCCAACUGAGUUGUAGGCUCACAUCCUCAACAGUUUACUCAGACCCCGUACAGAGUUUUAUCUCCUAUAGUCCCUGGUAGAAUUCAUUUCUGAUUCCCAACAAUGUUGAUCCUGGGGAGUGUUUGAUUUAGUCCCCUGCAAGGUUGUCUCCACUUCGAUAUGGAGUUGAUCUAAAAUUCCCCGCAGAAUGUAGACCCUCCGCAGAUAUUUU
rnacentral:lncRNA from 1 species